rnacentral:misc_RNA from 1 species
GAUAAGAACGUAGCGAAAUGCGAUACGUAGUGUGAAUUGCAGAAUUCAGUGAAUCAUCGAAUCUUUGAACGCACAUUGCACCUCUCGGUAUUCCGGGAGGUAUGCCUGUUCGAGCGUCAUUUGUACCCUCAAGCUCUGCUUGGUGUUGGGUGUUUGUUCCGCCUCUGUGUGUGAACUCGCCUCAAAACAAUUGGCAGCCGGCGUACUUGUUUCGGAGCGCAGCACAUUUUGCGAUCCAGAUCAACGUACAGCGGCAUCCAAGAAGCCUUAUUUAACGCUCUUGACCUCGGAUCAGGUAGGGAUACCCGCUGAACUUAAGCAUAUCAAUAAGCGGAGGA